UGGGGAAUAUUGCACAAUGGGCGAAAGCCUGAUGCAGCGACGCCGCGUGCGGGAUGAAGGCCUUCGGGUUGUAAACCGCUUUUGAUUGGGAGCAAGCGAGAGUGAGUGUACCUUUCGAAUAAGCACCGGCUAACUACGUGCCAGCAGCCGCGGUAAUACGUAGGGUGCAAGCGUUAUCCGGAAUUAUUGGGCGUAAAGAGCUCGUAGGCGGUUUGUCGCGUCUGGUGUGAAAGUCCAUCGCUUAACGGUGGAUCUGCGCCGGGUACGGGCAGGCUAGAGUGCGACAGGGGAGACUGGAAUUCCCGGUGUAACGGUGGAAUGUGUAGAUAUCGGGAAGAACACCAAUGGCGAAGGCAGGUCUCUGGGUCGUCACUGACGCUGAGGAGCGAAAGCGUGGGGAGCGAACAGGAUUA
rnacentral:rRNA from 1 species